rnacentral:rRNA from 1 species
UACCCAGGGGUUCGGGAUAGCUGCGGGAAACUGCAGGUAAUACCGAAUGAUGUCUCCGGACCAAAAAUUUAUUGCCCCCGGAUCGGUCUGCUUACUAUUAGCUUGUUGGUGGGGUAAAGGCCUACCAAGGCAAAGAUGGUUAGCGGGUGUGAGAGCAUGGCCCGUCUCACUGGGACUGAGACACUGCCCAGACACCUACGGGUGGCUGCAGUCGAGAAUCUUCCGCAAUGGACGAAAGUCUGACGGAGCGACGCCGCGUGCGGGAUGAAGGCCUUCGGGUUGUAAACCGCUGUCAGAGGGGAGCAAAUUUUGAGCGAUCCUCAGAGGAAGCAC